rnacentral:rRNA from 1 species
AGGAUAAACGCUGGCGGCGUGCCUAAUGCAUGCAAGUCGCACGGAGUGUCUCUUCGGAGGCAUUGAGUGGCGAACGGGUGAGGAACGCGUGGACAACCUACCCCGGCGUGGGGGAUACCCGCCAGAAAUGGCGGCUAAUACCGCGUACGGUCGUCGAACGAAGGGUUUGACGAAGAAAGCAGUAAUGCGCGCUGGGAGGGGUCUGCGGCCGAUUAGCUUGUUGGCGGGGUAAUGGCUCACCAAGGCGAUGAUCGGUAGCUGGUCUGAGAGGAUGAUCAGCCACACGGGGGACUGAGAGACGGCCCCGACUCCUACGGGAGGCAGCAGCAAGGAAUUUUCCGCAAUGGGGGCAACCCUGACGGAGCAACGUCGCGUGACGGAUGACGCCUCUUGGGGUGUAAACGUCUUUUGCCGAGGGAGAGAAUGGACGGUACUCGGCGAAUAAGGACCGGCUAACUACGCGCCAGCAGCCGC